UUGGAUUUUCCAUAUGAUGAGGGGGUUUUGAAUGCACCUUUGGAGAAAGAGUUGCAAGGAGGCCAUGCACGACUGAGUGGAUUGUUUCUUCCACACCAGGGCAAGUUGGUUCCGAAAGUUCUGCAACCUGCACAAGAAACCAUGCAAAAUGUACAAAGGUAGCCAAAAAAGUCAUCGCCUACUGAUUGAUUCUACUGCAGCUGAUGUAUGACGGUAUGAAAUUUUAAAGCAUGGAAACACAGGUUUGGAACUGUAUACCUAAGCUUCAUAAGUAAGAUUUAUACAUCUUUUUGCUUAAUUUUAUGUUACUCGAUGUGUUAUUUUUCACAUUAAUCAAAAUUAAGUUGUUACACAUAUAAGCUUGCCAGUCAAUGACUCUAAUCUGCAUAUCAACAGUUUUGUAUGGUUCAUGAAUAUACGCUAUCACAUGGAAAAUAUUCAGUGCACCAACAGUGAAAAUUUUAGAAACAUUAUCAAUAUUUGUAAUAGUAAAAAUGGAAGCAACAAAGAGAAUCACCAAAUAUUGGACAACAUAUAACUCCAUAAUCCAUAUCACACAACAGUCAUUUCUAGAACUGCAGGAACCCAAAUAUCAUAUAAUUCAAAUUCUUUACAAAAUUUGUCAACUAUUGUUGAUGCAUAUAAAAAAUCGAGUAAUAUAGAUAAACUUUACAAUUGAACUUUCAGAUAUUUGAGAGGGCAAGUCCUCGCAUAUUAUGACCUAGAUGAUCAGAGUUCAAAUCACAGAAACAAUCUUCCCCAUAGAAGCUGCAUCGAUUGAGCCUCCUAGACCCCACAAUGAUAAUAGUAGGCUCAUCCAUUUGACUGCCCUUUUCUUUGACCUAGUCACAAUAUAUUGUUACUAAUUUAUAUAAAAAAUUAUUAACUGUUGUUCCUGUUUUAUAGUUUACUAGUAUCUCCAACUCUGACAGUCAAUUGGCUCAAUUGCAGUUAAGAACACUUUGUGCCACACUUUGUUUGGCAUUAAAGUAAUGUAUGUAGUGAAAUUAUAGCUUUAUGUUAGCAAUACCUGUCAUCCAAGUCUCUCAAUGAAAUUUCCAUAUGGGUGAAAGAAAGUUUGAGGAUAAAUUGGUAGCUGAAAAUUACUUGCUAACACAAUCAUUUGGGUAAGGCUACAAAGAUAAUAAAUAUACCAAAUGCAGUGGCUAACCUUCUCAGGUUGCAAUGAUCUUAGAUAAUCCAACAAAUCAUUCUUUUCUUCUCCUACAAAAUUUUGCAUCUGUAGAGCAGUGUUCCUCCUUUUGAUGUCGCAAAGCUCCU
rnacentral:lncRNA from 1 species